rnacentral:rRNA from 1 species
UCAAAAACAUGUCUUUAAGAUUAUAAUUUUAAGUCGAAUCUGCUCCAUGAAUUUUUAAAUAGCUGCAGAAUAUUAACUGUACAAAGGUAGCAAAAUCAAUAGUUUUCUAAUUGGAAGCUGGAAUGAAAGAUUUAAUAAGGUACAUAUUGUCUCAAAUUUAAUAGAAUUAUAAUUUUUGUUUUAGUAAAAAUACUAAGGUGAAUUUAAAAGACGAGAAGACCCUAUAGAUUUUUAUAUUUUAAAUUAAUUUUUUUUUAAUUUAAUAAAAUUAAAAUUUAAUUGAAAAAUAUUAUGUUGGGGAAAUAAUUAAAUUUAAUAAACUUUAAUUUAUAUUUUACAAAAAUUAUUGAAUUUUUGAUCUUAAAUUUUUAGAUUAAAAGAAUAAAAUACCUUAGGGAUAACAGCGUAAUUUUUUUUGAUAGUUCUUAUAGAUAAAAAAGGUUGCGACCUCGAUGUUGAAUUAAGAUAAAAUUUUGGGGAAGAAGUUAAAAAUUUUUGGUCUGUUCGACCAUUAAAAUCUUACGUGAUCUGA